GGCACGUGUGGGGAGACUUCUUCUUUUUCUUCUUCUUCCUCUUCUUCUUCCUCCUCCUCCUUCUCCUCCUCCUCCUCCUCCUCCUAUUUUGUGUUGACAGGAUGAGUUUCACGUUCCUCAUCCUGAAAAUUUAUCACCCAAUCACGACACUUGCAGGAGGAAGAAGAGGAGGAGGAGGAGGAGGAGGAGGAGGAGGAGGAGGAGGAGGAGGAGGAGGAGGAGGAGGAGGUGUUGUUACAUGUCAUUCGCAGAAGGUUUGCCUCACCUCGCGUCUCUUCCAGGAAACCGCCACCACCAUGUCCUCCUCCUCCUCCUUCUCCUCCUCCUCCUCCUCCUCCUUAUCCUUCUCCAACACCUCCCCAUUAUUAUCCUCGUGCUACUUCUCUUUUGUUUUUACACGGGUAAUUUUAUCAGUUUCCAGCUCCUUUUACUCCCUCCUUCCACUCAUCUACUCCUCCUCUUCCUUUUUGUCCUUCUCCUUUUCUUCUUAUUCAUCUUCCCAUGUAAAAUUUUCAUACUAUUUGUUUUCACUUCAGCAUUCCUGCAUUCCUUUGUGUUCGAAUUUCAAUCUGUAAGGCUACAAUAACGAGGGGCCCAGCACACCGCCCUGCCGUGACACAGUGCUGCUGAGGGGGUGGUUGGUCACGUCACACUCCCAGACACCGCUAGCCACCUCAACACCACCACCACCACCACCACCACUACACUAAUAAUCGAAGCGGACUUAAGACAUAUAAAUGGUAAAUAAGGCAUACAUACUCCACUAAUAAUUUUUAUGAAUACGAAAAAUUAAAGAAAAAAUGCACUUAAAGAGAGAGCAAUAAUUCAGUUCCACUUAAAAUAAUGAUUCUCGUGAAGACCAAUAACACGAGAGAGAAAAAAAAGGCAUUUAGUUCAUUAAUAAUUCUUGUGAAAGGAGACAUAAAGAUUAAGCUUCUCCAACAAUCAACUCGACAAUUGUAUCUGAAGGAAUUCUGGGAAACUAACGGUGGUGGUGGUGGUGGUGGUGGUGGUGGUGGUAGUGGUGGCCAUUUUGAGAACCAAUGAUUAUUUGGAAACCGUGUGGCGUCGUGUUCACAAGUCAACACCAGCAUCACAACACCAUCACGUCGGCUACUCUGCCAGGGAAACUUAAACUCACAGCGUGGAGGAAGAUGGCGGGCGAGGCGUGUUAGAUGUGUGCUGCGAAGGAAGACGAGGUGUUACAGAAGAUCGAAGCCUCAGAAAGGAAAAUAGAUAGACAGAAAUUAAGUGGACAAUAACUUUACUGGCAUGAGGAAGGAUGAUGACUAAAUGUGAUGGAAAUAAAGACGAAAAAUGUGAACGAUAACUGGACCCACUAACACAAGGGAGAAUGAUCAGUAUUGCAAUGUAAUGUCCAAGAAAAAAAAGAACAAAAAAUGCAGAAAUGAAGGAAAAAAAAAAGGAAAACAGAUGAACAGUGCCAAGAUGAUCUCUAGUGAAGUGCCCCUCGUAACCAGUGCCAGUGCCUGAUUCUGCCUGAAGAAAGUGCAAGGAAAAUAGAUCUUGACUUAUGACUGAAAAACAUACACAGUGACGGUGCCUUAUCUGCGGACAGUGCCAUGAUAGUUACUCUCAUAAUGAAAAAUAGAUAAAUGAAUAAAAUAAAUAAAUAAAUAAACAAGUACCAGAGAAAUAAUUGAAAACAAAAGGACAAUCAUGAAGUGCAUUGAAAUUUUGGUUCUAAUAAAAAAAUAAAUAAAAAACAGUGAAAUGAGAAUGAUUGUUGCGAGAAAUGAAUGCUAAGGAAAAUUCUAAUGAGUGCCAAAGGAAAGCAGUACAAAUAAGGAAAAUAUUAAUGUGAGAGGUGAGUACAGUGUCAAGAGAUACUGUCAUCUUAGUGCCACAAUUACUGCCCAGGAAAAAAAAAUAAGGUAUGUGAACAAUACAAGAUUUAUUGGAAGAAGGGAAAAAUAACUAUAGAUUUCUGAAAAAAAAAAUGUAAGAUAUGAAAUGAAACUAGUAUAAGUAUUAGAUUUUUUUGUCAUUAUAUUGCCAAUUGUGAGAGACAGAUAGAGACAGAGACAGAGACACAGACAGACAGAGACAGAAAGAUGUAAGAUAUGAAAUGAAACCAGUAAAAGUGUUAUUUUUAUGUCAUUAUAUUGCCAAUUGUGAGAAACAGAGACAGUGACAGUGAAAUGAAACUAGUAAGAGGAUUAGAUUUUUUUAGUCAUUAUAUUGCAAAAUUGUGAGACAGAGACAGAGACAGAGACAGAGAGAGAGAGAGAGAGAGAGAGAGAGAGAGAGAGAGAGAGAGAGAGAGAGAGAGAGAGAGAGAGAGAGAGAAAUCAUAGAAUCCAAAAAAUAAUCAUAAAAAAAGAGAGAAAAAAAGAACAUAACAGCACACAAGACAUUCAAAGCUCACCCAAAAGAAAGUUAUGAGCCAUCAAAAAAAGUAUUCAGUGCCACCUGCCCCAAGAAAAAAAAAAGUAUUAAAAGUGUAUUAAAAAGAAGUUAUAAAAUGAAAAAGUAGAUUAAAAAAAUGAAUAAAUAGUUCAAGAAAAAUAUGAAUGUGCUAAGGGGAAUUUUUUUAUAGAAUCAUCAGAUUUUAGAGUACAGAUACUUCAAAACAAACUUCAAAACAAGAUUAGACAAAUUUAUGGAUGAGGAUGACAGAUGGAAAUAGGAGGGCAUGCUUCACACAGGGACUUCUGGCGGCUUCCCUUAUUUUCUUACGUUUCUAUAUUCGCAUGACAGAUUUACUGAAAAAUUCAAGUCAGUACACUCAUAAGGUGGACAGUGCCAAUAUGGGGAUGGUGAGUGCCGGUGAAAAUAGUGCCAGAAGUAUGAACACAAAUCCUGUGAUACCAGGCACUUAAAAAAAUAUAAAAAGAAGGCGUAUCAGAACGACAAUAAAGCAGCAAAGUGCCAACGUGGAAGUGCCAAGGAAUAAAGAGUGCCAGUGGCCUUAAAAGUGCCAGAUGAAAGAGAGAAAAUUCCCCCCUAAAAAAUGCCUGACACAAAAAUCACACUGAACAGAGCUAUACUGAAGCUUUACAGUGCCACAGCGAGAGUGCCAAACAAUAAAGAGUGGCAAGGACUUUGAAAACAGUGCCAAAAGGUAAAUAAAUAUAUAAAAAUGCCAAAAAUGCCAGACACUCAAAAAAAAAAAAAAAAAAAAAAAAGUCAAGUGAGUGCCAAAUAAGCUAUACUGGUGCACGGUGCCAAUGUGAACAAUAUGAAUAGGAAGUGCCAGGGACUUUGAAAAUACUGCGAUAGGAAACAGAGCAAAUGCCAAGAAUGCAGGAACUCAAAACCAUUACUGAGUAGACUUACAGAUACCAAGAGUCAAAGAACAGCAUGGGAAUUUAAAAACAAUGCGAAGGGGAAGAGAACGUGUCACAAAAAAAAAAAAAAAAAAAAAAAAAAAAAAACUCAGGCACUCAAGAAAUUACACGGAAAGAUGCUGAAGAUGCUAAAAAAACUGAGGAUAUAUUGAAAAUUACGGAGGGAAGAUGCAUAGUAGAGUUUAUAAGCAGCAUCUUCUUUCUGGAGGGUACGUGCACUGAAUCUGUUACUAAAAUGAGAUUCACGACUAUCGCCAGUAGAUUCGUGUAUGAGGCAGUGUUAGAUAGAGUACGCUACACCUAGAACUCAACGUAACUUAAUCCAGAACCUAACUGAACCUACCCUAAGCUAACUAACCUUACCUUACCUAACCUGACCCUAUCCUUAGAAGGGCAGUCAAAGUAGCCACCGUGAAAUUAAUGCUUGUCCAAAAGGAAUAAUACAGUACCUAUUGCUAAAAUGAGCCUAAAAUGAGCGUCUUGCAUUGGUUUUCACGAAUAUUAUCAGUUGAUUUAUGCAUUAGAUAAUAUAAUCAGUGUUACAAGUACCUUAUACCGAGAACCUGACCUAACCCAACCUAGAACCUAACCUAACCUAACCUAACCUAACCUAGAACCUAACCUAACCUAACCUAAUCUAACCUAACCUAAUCCUACAUCCACAACGCCAGCCAGAGAAAGCACAAGGUGAAUAAUGUUCGUCUAAAAGGAAUGCAGUACAGAAAGUAGUGAUGUUAUGGUACAGAAAUAGAGGAAAGUGCCUGGAAGUACAUCAAGUGAGGAAAUAGAAUAUGUCUAGAUAGCAGGGAGUGUCCAGGUGAUGUGUCUAAGUGGUGCAGGAAAGGUAUGCCAACACAGUGCCACGAAAAUACAGUGCCUAAGUGUGAAGUGACAGGAAAGUGGUGUGAUGAUCCUUCCACAAGAAAAAUUAGGAGGAAAGGAUGAAAAAUUGACACGAUACUCAAGAAACAAUGGAAAAAAAUAGCUGAUGUGUCCAGGUGGUACAGAAAAGAGUGUGUCUACGCAGGGCCUAAGUAAGUGGAGCGGCAGGAAAGUGGCGUGAUGAUCCUACCACAAGAAAAUUAGGAGAAGAGGAAGGAAAAUCUGACACGACACACGAGACAGAAUUAAACAAACAAAAAGAAGAAGAAGAAAAAAAAAGGAGUGUUUAGGUGAUACAGAAAAAAGGUGUGCCUACGCAGUGAAACGGAAGUACAGUGCCUAGGUGAAUGAAGUGACAGGAAAGUGCCACAACGCUCCUUCCACAAGAAAACUAGGAAAAAGGGGGAAAAAAACUGACACGACACAGACACACAAAAGAAUUACAAAGAAACAUGACUUGAAAACAAAAAUCGGAGCACCACGUAAUGGAGUCGAGGAGAGAAACAAAAUGGCGGCUGAAAAUCAUUAGCAUACCCCACUGCUCUCUUGCUUCCCCUCCCCUGAAAUAAAAAAAGGAACAGUCAACAGCCCCUGACUUUUAUGAACACUUUGCAUAUCUGACACAGGUUGCAAUAGAACAGUAACAUUCCGAGCACCACUGUAAGAAAUUAUCCAAAAGAGAGGGAGAGACCUGAGGGAGAGAAUUUGCCCUCAACUAUCAAGACAAAAAAAUGGGGAAAGAAAGGAAAUGAAAGAAAAAUAAUAAGGAAUGUUCGAGAGCUUCAAGAAUUAGAUAAGACAGAGUUU